GUAGCGYGGCGAGCGUUGUCCGGAUUUAUUGGGUUUAAAGGGUGCGUAGGCGGCCCUGUAAGUCAGCGGUGAAAUACGGCAGCUCAACUGUCGAGGUGCCGUUGAUACUGCGGGGCUUGAGUGCUGAUGAGGCAGGCGGAAUUGACGGUGUAGCGGUGAAAUGCUUAGAUAUCGUCAAGAACACCGAUAGCGAAGGCAGCCUGCCAAGGAGCAACUGACGCUGAGGCACGAAAGUGCGGGGAUCAAACAGGAUUAGAUACCCUGGUAGUCCGCACAGUAAACGAUGGUCACUCGAUGUCGGCGAUACACUGCCGGCGUCUUAGCGAAAGCGAUAAGUGACCCACCUGGGGAGUACGCCCGCAAGGGUG
rnacentral:rRNA from 1 species